rnacentral:rRNA from 1 species
UACGUAGGGGGCAAGCGUUGUCCGGAUUUAUUGGGCGUAAAGAGCGUGUAGGCGGCCAGACAGGUCCGUUGUGAAAACUCGAGGCUCAACCUCGAGACGCCGAUGGAAACCGUCUGGCUAGAGUCCGGAAGAGGAGAGUGGAAUUCCUGGUGUAGCGGUGAAAUGCGCAGAUAUCAGGAAGAACACCCGUGGCUAAGGCGGCUCUCUAGUACGGUACUGACGCUCAUGCACGAAAGCGUGGGGAGCAAACAGG